ensembl:lncRNA
AGCAACCACAGAACUGCUGGACAGCUCCUGCAAGCUAUACCAAGAUCUAUUUAAAAUACUGUUUUGAGAAUCCUUUGGCUCUAUGCUGAGCUUUCAGAAACUCAGAACUCUUUUUUUAGUCUGAAUCCAGACUAAUCCAGCUCAGCUGAUUCACGCGGCAAAGUGGAUUACCACACCUUAGCUAUUCUACUUACCAGGGAAGGCUAGAAGUUUUCCCCACAAGUGAGAUGGAGAAGCUUCUUAACAAGUCGCAUUAGAAGCCUUCUGUUUUGAAGCACCUUUAGAGCACUUUGUAAGACUCAUCUUUAUGGUAAAGUGUAUGAAAAUAUUUUGAGUAGCGAUGAAAAAGAAAAAGGCAGUUGGAAAAUAAACACUGUCAAGACUGGUGUAUAGACCUGGAUCUGAGCAGCUUAUUGCAAUAUAGUGUGUUUCUGAAGAGUGGAAAUGGAAAAAAGAUGCAGCCAUUCUGUUGUGGUUAGCUGGCAGGAGCUGCAGAUGGCUGAGGAAAGCAAUGACUCUGAUGAGGGGUCAGGACCAUCAGGGAAUGGACUGCUGUCUUCAGAGAAUAUGGAGGUUGGCAGCAGUGAGGAGGAGGUUCUGGAGUAGCCUGUGCCAAGUGCAUGUGCACAAAGGAUUACUCGGAGGAAAGAACAAUUACAGCAGCACAGGCGACUCGGGAGUAAGGCUGCAAGGUUCUUUGAAGAAAGCAAAGAAGCUCUUAAAUUCAACUGGUGGAUGGAUAUCUUAGUUUGUGUUUAAAGAAUUUUGUACUUUAGUUCUUAUCUCUGGGUUUUUGGCAGCCUUGACAAACAACUUAGCAAGCCUUUUUCUUGUUGGAGCUAAUUAAUGGAAAUCAGCCUUCAGAACAGAAUUCGUUAUUAAACCUUAAAAGGUGGGGGCUGCUGCCAUUGCCUGUGUUUGCUCUUUGGGAACCCGGUUGGCUCCCCCCCCCAAUUCAAAAUAUCUUCUACUGCACUGCAAGUCUUGGCAGUACUCUAAGGAUGCUUCAGAUGGAAAAAGAAUAGUGAACCUCCCAUCUGAAAGUAGCCCAGAUUAUAUGUAAUUCAAAAAAGAAGUACUUUAAUGAUGCCUCCUCAGUGCCAGUUUUUUUGUCCAAAAUCUUCAAUUUCAGGGAGCUACAAUUGGCUAUCAUAUGCCAAGACAAAUGUGAAUAAAUCAGAUAAGUAGUACCCUUAACUUCUUUUGAUCUGAAUGUUACAUUCCUGCUGAUGUAGGAUUUUUUUUUAGUUUUGGUCUAGUUUAGUUGAGUUCAAAGAAAGUUCUAGCAACUAGGCCAUUUCCAAGAGAAACGUAUAAUUUGACCUGUUUAGAGCUAUAUACUAUUCCUAAAUAAUAAUUUCUUUUAUGUUUUGUUCCAAAAUUUACCUUAACAAAUUAUAUGUUUAAUAAAAACAGUUUGUGUUUCAAAAGGUACCUUUUGUUUGCUUGUCUCAGGGCUAUUGCCAACUUUCUUCCUUAAUCCUUGUGACCUAUGUGAUGCCAUUUUACCUUCUGGUAAUAUCUCUUGGAGCUGUUAAUAGACAAGUUGUUAGUAAUGAAGAAACAUAUCUAUAGGGUGCUUCCAUGGUCUCUGAUCAAAUUUCAAAAAUAUUGGGAAUACAACUGCAUGUCAAAUUAAAAUGUACCUGCUUUAAAAAACACUAGGGCCAUUUGACUUUUCAAUUUGAAGGAAACAAAGGGGCUUUAGCAGAUGCAAAGGCACUCACACAGGACCUGUCAGCAAGGCUUUAAAUCAAAC